CAGUAGCCGCGGUAAUACGAAGGGGGCUAGCGUUGCUCGGAAUGACUGGGCGUAAAGGGCGCGUAGGCGGUUUUGACAGUCAGAUGUGAAAUUCCUGGGCUUAACCUGGGGGCUGCAUUUGAGACGUCAAGACUAGAGUGUGAGAGAGGGUUGUGGAAUUCCCAGUGUAGAGGUGAAAUUCGUAGAUAUUGGGAAGAACACCGGUGGCGAAGGCGGCAACCUGGCUCAUUACUGACGCUGAGGCACGAAAGCGUGGGGAGCAAACAGGAUUAGAUACCCCUGUAGUCCCUGUCUCUUAUAC
rnacentral:rRNA from 1 species